rnacentral:rRNA from 1 species
CGGGGUAACGGCCCACCUAGGCGACGAUCCCUAGCUGGUGUGGGAGGGUGAUCGGCCACACUGGGACUGAGACACGGCCCAGACUCCUACGGGAGGCAGCAGUAGGGAAUCUUCCGCAAUGGACGAAAGUCUGACGGAGCAACGCCGCGUGAGUGAUGAAGGCUUUCGGGUCGUAAAACUCUGUUGUUAGGGAAGAACAAGUGCUAGUUGAAUAAGCUGGCACCUUGACGGUACCUAACCAGAAAGCCACGGCUAACUACGUGCCAGCAGCCGCGGUAAUACGUAGGUGGCAAGCGUUAUCCGGAAUUAUUGGGCGUAAAGCGCGCGCAGGUGGUUUCUUAAGUCUGAUGUGAAAGCCCACGGCUCAACCGUGGAGGGUCAUUGGAAACUGGGAGACUUGAGUGCAGAAGAGGAAAGUGGAAUUCCAUGUGUAGCGGUGAAAUGCGUAGAGAU